CAAGCCAGGUCUUUUCAUAUAAGGAAGAAAGCGCGGGCUACAGCAGCGGUUAGUGUCUGAGGGCUCUGGGUCGGUACCUGAUUGGACCAGGCUGCAGGGGGUCGGUCCCCGGAAGUUUAGCCAGCCUCCGGAAUUUGCCUUGCGGCACUUUUCCGGGGCAUGCCCCAACCUUUCAUCCCGGCCUUUUUGUUAUAGGACAAGGGGCGCCGGUUCUCUUUGGCUAUUUCCUGCUGAACGGGGGCGACGAGGGGUAGGGGCCAGCCGGGACGAAAGGUCAGCUUAUGCAGGAUUGUGAGGGACCCGGAAAGGCCAAAGCCGGAGGCCGAAGCCGGAGGUCUACUCAGCCGCUGGGGACGUCUCCCCACCAGCUGGUGACCGGGAGGGCCCA